rnacentral:lncRNA from 1 species
GGAUGGAGAACUUUAAACUGGGUAUGGCUGGCCCCAAAAAGGCUCGAAAGCUGCUUGAGACAACAGGGUUUUGCAGGGAAUCCUUACAGGUUCCUUUCUGGUGACAUAAAAGAGCUCUUCACUAUGAGCAGACAAACAAGAGCGAAACCUAUGCCUCUUAGUGAUGAUAUUGGGCCUUAUGUUGUUCCUUUUCAACAUCAAACCGCUAACCAGUAUGGUAUGUUUUUUUAUUUAAUCUGCAAUUUAUGAUAAUUCUUUGUUAUUUACGUAUGGAAUUUAUUGGGAGGAAAUGCAGGAAAGAAUUCAUUUACGUGGUUUGGUCCAAGACCAAGGGCGAACAUUACGGACCCUGAAAAAAUAAGAGAAAUACUUAACAAAUUUAAUGACUUCCAGAAGAUACGUACCAAUCCUCUGCUUAAUUUGCUUGUAAGCGGCCUUGUUAACCUCGAAGGAGACCGAUGGAGCAAGCGUAGAAAAAUCAUAAACCCUGCAUUUCAUCAAGAUAAGUUGAAGGUAUAGAAUAGUGAUGGGUAAUCAGACUUUACAGAAAACAUCAUACUUAAACCUAUGCUUUUCUGAUUUAGAAAUAAUUGGAUGCAGAAUAUGUUGCCAGCAUUUUAUCAAAGUUGUAGUGACAUGUUAAGCAAAUGGGAGAAGAUGGUGUGUACAGAAGGAUACAGUGAGUUAGAUGUGUGGCCUUAUCUCGUAGAUUUGACAAGAGAUGUGAUUUCCCGAUCUGCUUUUGGAAGCAGCUUCGAAGAAGGCAAACGAAUUUUCCAAUUACUAGAGGACCAACUCGUUGUCACAAUCAAAUUAAUACAAACUGUUUACAUUCCAGGAUGGAGGUAACCGUCAACUUAGUUUACUUGAAAAUGGUUGCAAAUGUUGGAAUUGGCUAAAUUCGUGUUUGUUUUCUUGAAGGUUUUUGCCAACAAAGACAAACAGGGAGAUGAAGAUGAAACACAGAGGCAUAAAAGAGUCGCUUAGGGAAAUGAUAAAGAGAAGGGAGAAGGCAAUUAAAGCAGGGGAAGAGAGCAAUGAGGACUUGUUGGACAUACUUGUGGAAUCCAAUAUCAGAGAAAUGGAAGCAAAGAAUAUGGGGAUGAGCAUUGAGGAUGUGAUUGAGGAAUGCAAGCUGUUUUACUUUGCUGGCCAGGAGACCACUUCGGUCUUACUGGUGUGGACUAUGGUUUUAUUAGCAAGGUAUCCCGAUUGGCAAAGUAAAGCAAGAGAGGAGGUUUUGCAUGUUUUGGGUGACAGUAAACCUGAUGCUGAUGGCCUUAAUCGUCUCAAAGUUGUAAGUCCCUAGCAUGUCUUUUGAAGGUCCGAUCAAUGAGGUCGACAACUCAAAAACUUUGUUUCUUUUUACGCUAAUUCUACAGGUAACAAUGAUAUUGUACGAGGUUCUAAGGCUGUACCCACCGGUGGUUGAGCUAGGACGUUCCGUUCCAAAAGAAAUAAAACUGGGGAAUUUGUUGUUACCAGUAGGAACAGAAGUUUCGGUUCCGAUCCUGCAGAUCCACCAUGACAAAGAUCUUUGGGGUGACGACGCACGGGAAUUUAAGCCAGAGCGGUUCGCGGAAGGGGUUUCCAAAGCAACAAAGAGUCAAGUCACGUUUCUGCCAUUCGGAUGGGGUCCUAGGAUCUGUAUUGGCCAAAAUUUUGCUUUGAUGGAAGCCAAAAUGGCGAUGGCUAUGAUUCUCCAACGCUUCUGGUUCGAGCUUUCCCCUUCCUAUGCUCACUCUCCUUACAGCAGGGCAACUCUUCGUCCACAGCAUGGUGCACAGAUAAUUUUACAUAAACUUGGCUGUAAUUGAAUUGUUAUGUAAACAAAUCUUUGUGAAAACAUAGCGUUUUAGUGUAUCGUCAAAGUCCGGUAUCUGUAAUGGUACAAAUUCGAUGAAUGAAUAGUAAAUUUUGAGAUGUUUGGUGAAGUCCGAAAUAAUAUGCAGAAAUUGAGCGUCUGUGGUGGACAUAGUUGAGGGACUAAUGUGGUAAUUAUCAAUCAAAUAAUUCGGUACAAAGACUUAUAUGGAAAUUAAAGCAGGGGGAGUUGAAAAUGACUACUCUGCUUUGGGCAUCAAUUUAGAAAGAUUUAAAGUUCAAAUGUGUUAUUAGUUAAGGGAUUUGUUUUAAAGAGGGAAUGACAAUUAAACCUCAUGGUUGAUUUGUGCAAGGAACCGAUGAUGGGAUGAUUAUUCUUAGUGGUAAAAAAAACCAUUAUGGAGGUUAUUACACUUGUUAUCAUCGGCUUAAAAUUCGAUUGGGUUCAGGUCGGAUUAUAUCGAGCUUGUAAGAUAGUUCACCGACCAAGUUUGCAUAAUAAAAUACCUAAAUGAAAAAAAUUUCUAUUUUAGAGGAACCAGAGCCCCUACCAACUCCCGGUUCAACCACUAAACAAUAGCCAUAUCAUAUAAAUAAAUACCACCAUCUAAAAGACUAAAAAAAAACACUUAACAAAGGAUAAAUAGAUAGAUGUUGGAUAAGUGUCCAAAAUAUGAUCUAAGUGAAGAUACGUGGGGUAGGUGUUACGGAAAUGUGAAGACAAGAAUCCCACUAACGUAUGGGAUGUGUACAGUUGAAUGUAGGAAGCUAGUAAAAAAAUUUUUUUGGGUCAUAUAAUUUGUUUAGCAUAUAUUUUUAUAAUUUUUAAAUAUCAUUUUGGAGUUGAAUUAUAAUUUUUUUAUAUAUUAUCUUAAAAUUUUAAGGAGUUAAAACAAAAUUAUUUUAUUUUCAGAUGGUCAAAGUAGAGGUGAUAAUGGGUUGGGCUAUUCGGCCCGGCCUGACGAUUCACCCGAAAAAUAGGAGGGUUUAGGUAAAAAUAUAGGCUCGAAAUAUGGAUUUGAGCAAAAAAAGAGGCCCGUUUAGAAAAUGGGCUAGGCCUCGAGUAAAAUUUUUUGGGCCCAGGCCUGACCUGAAUUAUAUAUUAAAUAUAUAUAUUUUAUUUUUAAUCAAAUAUACUUUUGUUUUAUUAUUAAUUUGGUUAUUAUUUUAGUUCUAAUUUGUUUCAAUUUUAAUAUAACCAGUUUUUAUUAUAUUUUCAAUUUGUGUAUUGUUUUAAGAAUUGUUUUAGUCUCAUUAUUUAUUUAUUUUUUGUUUUAAUAUUUGUUUUAAAAAUUUUUAUUUAAUGAAAUAAGCUAAAAAAAUUAAUAUGGGCUGGGCCAGGCCAGGCUCGGGCCUAGUAAUUUUCUUUUGGGCCGGACUUAGAUAAAUUUUUAAGUCCAUAUUUUGAAUUGGGUCCUAACCUAAAAAAUAGACCUAAAAUUUUAUAUGGGCCCAGCUUGAACCCGACUUGGCCCAUGAUUACCUUUAAGUCAGAGCUAUCCUCGUUUUGCAUUUCUUUGAGAUUCAGCCUUAUCUACUAUUGAUUGCCCUCUCAAUUGAGGUUUGAGUAGAAAGAUUUGGUGAAGCAAGCUAAGCUAUCAAUCAAGGUUUGCAUAAUUAUUUAAAUGUAAUUCUAAUAUUAAAAUAAUUUUUUUUAUUAAUAUAGUAUCAACAAGCAUUAAAUGUAAUGAUCAUAUACUAUUACAUUUUCAAGAAGAGAAAACAUGUUUGAACUUUAAAAACGACGUUACUAAAAACAUUAUCACAAAUCUUGAAAUAUAAAAAAUAUUUUUUUAAAUAUAAUAAAAAAUUAAUUUUAAACCUGAGCUGAAUAAAAUUCUAAUUUUAGUUAAUGAUACCAACAACAAAUCAAUAUUCUAAGCCCGAGCCCGGCUCAUUUUUUUAAUAAACACCAAAAAUUUAUUUUGAAAAUAAAAAAAGUAUUUUAAAAAAAUUUUAAAAUUAAAAGAAUAAAAAUAUAUAUUUAUUAUAUAUUCAGGCCGGGCCGGGCCGGCCCCGGGCCAAAAAAGUGGUGCUCGAGACCCGACCCAUUGUCUAAAUGGGCCUCAUUUUUGCCCAAACCCAUAUUUCGGGCUUAUAUUUUUACCCGAACCUCUCAUAUUUUGGACGGAUCGUCGGGCCGGACCAGGCCGCCCGACCAUGAACACCUCUAGGGCAAAGUCACUCAAUGAAUGCAUGGAAAGAAAGAAUGCAACUUGGUGACAGCUUUUGUUGGAGUUAUAUGCUUUUUUUUACAUAGUGGAACUUUCUGUGGAUUUUCAAGUUUCAUGAACUUUAUACCCUAUGCUUUACGUGAAAAAAAUCAUUGGACUUAAAAGUCUACCAAAAGUUUCACUAUAAUAAAUAAAUAAAUAAAUAAAUAACAUUGCUACAAGACUACAACAUAAAGUUACAAUAAGAGCUUAUAACUCAACAAAGGCUAUCAAUAAAUAAUCUCAAGCAAGCUAAAGAGAAAUGUUGAGAGUACCACUCAAAUAGUGAUUGACUUUAAAAAUUAAAAACCCGAAGUUAUAAUAUCCCAAACGAAAUCAAACCAUAAACAUUAAAUUUUUCGAGUCUACUAGAUACUGUAAAAAAUUCAGCUCCAACGGACACCAAAUGAACCUAUGAUUGAAGAAAAUACGAAAACUAGUCUGGCUAAAUCAAUCUGCCAAACUUACUUUUUAUCUUAUCUUUAAUUUGCUGUGAAAUUCAAAACUACGUGUAAUACCCAAUUUAUGCCCGGCCCAUUUUGUUAAACCAAAUAAAAAAGAAAAGAAAAACAAAAUAUUUAAAUUUAGCCCAAAUGUCCAUUUACACAGCCCAAUUACAAUUGCAAAUAAAAAAAAACUAAAACUAAACCCGAUCCUAAGCAUCAGCCCAAAUUCGACCCAUGCCCAAAACGAAUUCAGAUGCAGAAACCCUAGCCCAGCCUCAACGCAAGAAAAAGUCGGAAGCCCUAAUGGUUGGUGCGCCGCUCCUGUAACAGCCCGAUUUUGGGUCUAGUCGGAACAGUGGUUUUGGGACCACAAAUCCGACGAGAAAAAAAUGUAAUGGCCUGAAUUUUCAGAGGUGUCGGAAUGGUGAUUCGAGAUCACUAAAUUCGAAAAAUGGGUAGAAAAUAUUAUUAAUUUAGUGAGUAUAAGUUAAAUGUGAAGUUAGGAAAAUUUUUGAAAUAGUGAAUAGUACACUAGAAAUAAAUAUUAAAAUAAUUAGAAUCGAAAAUGAGGUAUCGAGACCUCGGGGAUUUUAAACCUAGCCAUAAAUAUUUAUGUAGUGUUAAAAAGUUAGUAUUAAAGUUUCGUUAAGAAAUUUUAAAGUUCCGAUAAUUAAUUGAACAAAAAGGACUAAAUUGUAACAAAUACAAAAUUAUGAGAAAUGAUUAAAUAGCUUAAAUGAUAAAAGGAAGAGGGCUUAAAAGGCAAAUAGACCCAAGGGCUAUUUGGGCUGGACGGCAAAGGCAUGAAAUCAGCAACAAAGUAAGGAGAAUUAAGGGCAAAAUUGGAAUAUUGCAAAAUUUACUUAAUAAAGUUAGGACCAAAGUGGAAUUAUCUAGAUUUCUCUUUAUUUUUCUGCAUUCUCAUUAGCAAAAACACCAUAGAAGGGUUUCCUUAAGCCGGUUCUUCCUAUUUUUACUGCAGAUAAGUUCAAUUCUUGAUUAUUUCUUGAAAAUUUUGUGUUUUUGUGACUUUUACAACUAGGCCCACUUAUUGUAUUCAUUAGUUUUUGAUUCUAUGAAAGAAUUUGAAAGUUGCUAUGAAUACAUGCUGGAAGUAUAUGAUGAUUUAGCAUGGAAUUAGAGCUUUAAAUUGUUCAUAUGCUGAUUUUAUUGAAAGAAUUGAAUAGAAAGUGAAUGUUUGGGACCUAAUAGUAAAAGAGUUUGAAGAUAGAGUUAUAUGUGGAAAUUCUGAGUUUCAAUAGUUGUGAAACAACUUAUAAUGUCUAGGUAAAUUAUUAAUUGAGAAAAUUAAAUUAAUUGAGGGGUUAAUUGAGAAAGGACCGAAUUGUAUAAACUGUGAAAUUUGGGGCAAAAAGGAAAUCAACAUUUUGCACUAAAGCAGUUUUGGACAGCAGCAGUAGUAUAAAUUUGAAAAAUCACCAAAAAUUUUGGGAAUUGAAUUAGAGGGUGAAUAAAAUAUGAAAUUAAAGCUUAUUGAGUCUAGUUUCUUAUAAAGGAAACGGUGUAAGCAAUGGAAUUGUAAAUCAUGAGAUAUAAUAAAUUUUGCGAGACAAUGUCAGAAUGAUUUCGGGUUCCCCUAUUCUGACUUUGGAAAAUCAUUAAAAAUUGAAAAAAAAUUAUGAGUUAUAAUUUAUAUGAUUAGAAUCCUUAAUGAGUCUAUUUUCAAAAUAAAUAAAUGGAAACGUCAUAAAAAUUCUGUACAAUUAGAUAAUUCAUUUUUAGUGAAGAGUGGUCGGAACUGUCAGACAGCAAAACAGGGGAAACUUUAAAGAAUAAAAUGUACUAUUUGGCUGAACCAAAAAUUCUGAAAAUUGUAUGGUAAGAAGGUAUGUGAGUCUAGUUUCAGGGAAAAUUAAGGGAUCUUAAUUUAGAGCUCUGUAGCUCCAGAUAAAAAUAAUUUAGUGACUCUAACUCGGAUAAACAGCUUUGAAUAUACAUGUGAGUGAAUAGUGAAAUUAUAGCUAGUGUUGUUUAAGUGUGUUAUACACAAUAAGGAUGUGGAAUGGAGAGGAGGAGGAGGAGGAAAAAUUGGGAAAUAUAUGAAUGAUUUGUGUAUAAUUGGUCAUAUGCUUAAUUAUAAUUGAUAAACGAUGAAAUAGAAAUGAUGCAUAUAUUUGUGCAGUAUUGGUCAUGGUUUAAGCUCAUGUGGCAAAAUAAAGUUUAUAGUACGGGUGUAUUGUAUUUUUGGUAUAUGAUUUGGCAUUAAGUAAUGUCGUGAAUGGGUAUUGAAUUAACACAUGUUGGAAAGUUUGAUUCAGCACGCGUCGAGCCUCCGCGCCAAAACCACGUGAGCCUUCGUACACUCCAACUGGCCUCCGUACCUGCAACAAACAAAAGUAGACAAAACAACAGCAAAUGAUAGGAAGAAAAGGUAGUAAAUAGUGAAGAUUUUUCUGUAAUUUUCUUUGGAUUUCAUUCUGUAUUUUCGGCUAUAAAAGAGCCAUUAGGAAUAUUUGUAAAGGAGUUUUUUUUUUACCCUCACACACAAAGAGAAUAUACACGCAUACAAGAUCAAUAUAGAGAAAAAAAUAAAAAAAAAUACAAAGAAUAGAAAAUCAAGUUUCGAAGGUGAUUCUUUGAAAAAUCCUUUUCGUUUUUCUCCUUUUUCCUUUUUCCUGGAUCUUUUGUUCAUUUCAAGUAAAAAAAGUAUAAAAAGGAAACAAGUUUAGAGGAAGGAGGUUUACCUGGACGCCGGACCUCGCUCGCCUCGUCGAAAUCGAAGGCUGAGAGGGGAUAAAUCGGUUUUGCGACGGAAGGAAAGGGGGCUAGGGUUCUUCUUUUAAUUUUAAAAAAAAAAUAGAAAAUGUUGCUAAUUAGGUUUUAAUGGGGGGAUUUAUGUGUGUUAAAAAAACGACGUCGUUUAGCGACCUUUGACCCGCGCGGUGACCCGACCCGAGGAAAGGAUCCGCGCGUUUUGGGUCUGAUGGGUUUAUUGCGCAACAAGCCCUUCCGCAUUUGUUUUUCGUUUCAAUCCGGUUUUUAUUUGUUUUUUAAUUGCUCUCUCAUAUUUAGUUCCAAUUUCAAUUGGGUCCAUGAUUAAACGACAUCGUUUUCAUUGAUUGGGUUUGAAGGCCUAGUUUUGUGCGUCUAAAUUGCAGCAAUGGUCCCCCUGAUGUGCAAUGGUUCUCGAUUUAGUCGUCUCCACACUUAUUUCAAAGUCGUCCCUGAGAUUUUGUUUUAUUUUUGAAAUUUUCCUUGUCUUCUUUUAAUUUAUAAUGCUAUUAUUAUUAUUAUUAUUAUUGUUGUUGUUGUUGUUGUUAUUAUUACUAUUAAUAUAGGUAUUGUUAUCGUGUUAGUUUAUAUCUAUUUAUUUACUUUUAUUUUAUUAUGUAUUAUUAUAUAAUGCUUUUAUCAUGUAUCAUUUUAUAUAUUUUCUAUGUUAAUCUAAUAUGAUAUAUAUAUAUAUAUAUGUAUUUUUGUGAUCUUAUUUUAUAAUACUUUUUUAACCCAUUUAUAUGCCUUUAUGUUUUAAAGAUUUAUAAUAUUUUGAGCAAAACUAUUAUAUAUAUAGAUAUACAAUUUAUAUUAGACCAUUUUUAUCGUACAUAUACGUAUAUAUAAUUUAUAUUUUGAAACCCUAUUUUAUUAUAUUUUAUGCCUCUAUAUACAUCAUUAUAUGUUUAUUAUUCUUUAUAUUAAACCUGUCAUUUCACUUAUAUAUUUUUAAAACCAAUAUGUAUUAUUCUUUCUUCCUUGUUAUUUUUUAUCUCUUAAAAUAGAUUGAUAAUUCAUUUAAUUUUUGAAUGUUGUAUGACCGAGAUUAUCGUUGCCAUUCUUGUUCAAAUUUAUCCAUUGCUUGUUCAUAUUAUUUGAUAAUUUAUCGCUCACUAGCAUGUACCGUAAUUUACGAAUUAUCAAUUUGAAUUAUGUACUACCAUUCAAUCGCAUUACAUUUGUUUGGAAAACAUCGAAAUCGUUUUGCACAUAAACCUUCAAAAUGCUCGGUAUCCAAAAUUCUCGAGAGGAUUGUGUCCUAACUUACUAGGCUUCAAUUCUCCUUCUUGAUUUUAAAUAACCGAAUACCCCUUUUUCAAUUUGAACAUAGAAAUUCCAAAAUAAAAAAAAACUCAUUCUCGGGAAUUUGAUGCGUUGUGUCCUAACGUAUUGGAUAUGACAUAUUUUUCUCGAGACGAGGAUUUUUCUAACAAAUAAAAAUAAAGACAAUAUUUGAUAUUUAGGAAUUUUGUGAAAUCGAAGCCUAACUUACUGGGUUUUGAUUUUUUCAUUUGACCCAAGUCGGAUAUCCUUCUCAAAUGCAUAGAUUUUAAAAAAUCAAAAGAUAAACUUAAUUUCGAGGAUUUAAAAUGUUACACUCUAACUUACUAAGUGUGUCAAUUUAUUUCUUUGAAAUAAGUGAGUUUCAUCAUCCAAUUUAUUUUAUUCAAAUAUUCUUUUCCAAGGAUCGUAUUUUAAAAUCUUUUCAAAAUUUCGACAUUAAGACAUUAAACAAUCAAUUCGGUACCAAUUUUGGGCGUCACGAGGGUGCUAACCCUUCCUCGUGCGUAAUCGACUCUCGAACUUGUUUUCUCAAAAUUCGCAGACCUAAAAUUAUUUUCAAGGUGAUCCGAUUACACCACAAUAAAAUAUCGGUGGUGACUCCCAUUCCUAUUUUAAAAGUCGAUUCCCGUUUUUCAAAUAUAAAAAAAUGGUUUCGACACUACGGUUUUGUUUGUUUCACUUAGAACAACUUUCAAAAAGUUAAUUUUGAAAAAUGGAUUGAAUUUUCAAAAUAGAUGAUAUUUUAUUGUGUUAAAAUUUUAUUCGUUGUUUGAAAAAAAAAUUUAAAUCAUUUUCUUAGAAUUAUUUUUAGUGAAACAAAUAUAUCAUAAAUAUAUUUGUUAUAAAAUAUUAUAUUAAUAAUUUUUUUGACAAUUAAAAUAUAUUUUGUGAUAAGGUAAUAUUUUAUAAUAAUUAAUAUCAUAUAUACUUAAUAAUAAAUCAUGUCUAAUUAAAAUUUAAUUUCAAUUAAAUAUAUUAAUAAAGCUACAUUUAAUCAUAUUUUAUAUAAUUAAAAUAUUAAUAUAAAUAUUUUUCAAUAAUAUAUUAAAGAAUAUUUAAAAUUUAAAUUUAUUAUUACUAAGAUUAAUUAUUAAAAUAAAAAUGUACUAUUAAAUAAUUUAUCCAAUGAUAAGUUAUAUUGAUAAUUUAUUAUAUUAUUAAAUAUAAAUAAUUCAAUAUGUAUGUUUAAUAAUAUUAUGUUAUAAUAUUUAUUACUAAUAUUUUAAUAUUUUUAAACAACCAUAUUUUAAAGAUGGUGGUGAUGGUGAUGGUGCAGGCCCCCUUGUUACAAUUACAAUAUUUUUAAGUGGGAUGCAUGUAAUAUAUUGUUAGGGUUUUAGAGUGUGUCGUCUUUAAAAGGGUUAAAUUAUAUAUUUAUAUAAUAUGAUUAUUGUUUAUAAACAUAAUAUUGUAGAUAAGUUUAUAUGUAUGUCAAUAUGUAUCCUACUCUAGGGUUAAUAUGUAUUUUUUAGAUGUGGGUUCACCUAUAUAAUAGUAUGAAUCCAUCAUGCGGUCUCAUGAAAUAUACAAACACAUAUCGUGCUAACACAAAGUACGAACAAUAAAAAGUACAAAUCAAGACCCAAUUGAAUAAUUAAAUAACGGAUAGGUAAUAAUGAAUAUCAUAACAUUCACUAUCCCCUCUUUUCCAGUGAGUUAUUGUUUAUGAUAAAUUUGCAACAAAUGUUUUUAUCAUUAUUUUGUUGGUAAAUGAUAAUAAGCUUAAACUUUACUUUCUUAAGCUCCUUCAAUUCUUUGGACGUUAGCGAGUAAACUUGAGCUUCAGCAUUCCACAAACACCUUAAUUUGAAGACACAGUUCUCUCAUACUAAAAACGACAUGGACGUUUACCUUGUAAUUAGAGAUUUGGGCUCAUUGUUGGGUUAUUAAUGAUACAGGGAUGGAGAGCUUUAAACUGGGUAUGGCUGGCCCCAAAGAGGCUCGAAAGGUGCUUGAGACUAGAGGUGAUCAAGGGCCGGGUUAGGCCCGGUCUAGAAAAAAAUUUAGGCCCAUUUUUUAGGCCUGAAUUCGGCUCGGCUCAAAAUAUGAGCUUAAAAAUUUGUCUAAAUUCGGUCCGAAAGAAAAUUGUUAAGCCCAAGCCUGACCCAUAUUAAAUUUUACAACACCAAAAAAGUAUAUUUAAAUAAAAAUAAAAAAUAUAUAUUUAAUAUAUAAUUCGGGCCGGGCAGAACUCUGGCAAAAAAAAUUUUACUCGGGGCUGGUCUGUUUUCUAAACAGACUUCGUUUUUUUGCCAAAAUCUAUAUUUUAGGCAUAUAUUUUUACCCGAAUCUUCCUAUAUUUUGGGGUGAGCCGUCGGGCCAGACUGGGUAGCCGAACCAAUGAUCACCUCUACUUGAGACAACAGGGUUUUGCAGGGAAUUCUUACAGGUUCGUUUCUGGUGACAUAAAAGAGCUCUUCACUAUAAGCAUACAAACAAGAGCCAAAACUAUGCCUCUUAGUGAUGAUAUUGGGCCUUAUGUUGUUCCUUUUCAACAUCAAACCGUCAACCAGUAUGGUAUGUUUUUUUAUUUAAUCUGCAAUUUAUGAUAAUUCUUUGUUAUUUAUGUAUGGAAUUUAUUGGGAGGAAAUGCUGGAAAGAAUUCAUUUACAAGAAUUGGUCCAAGAUCAAGGGUGAACAUUACGGACCCUGAAAAAUAAGAGAAAUACUUAACAAAUUUAAUGACUUCCAGAAGGUACGUACCAAUCCACUGCUUAAUUUGCUUGUAAGCGGCCUCGUUAACCUCGAAGGAGACCGAUGGAGCAAGCAUAGAAAAAUCAUAACCCUUGCAUUUCAUCAAGAUAAGUUGAAGGUAUAGAAUAGUAAUGGGUACUCAAGACUUUAAAGAAAACAUCAUACUUAAGCCUAUGCUUUUCUGAUUUAGACAUAAUUGGAUGCAGAAUAUGUUGCCAGCAUUUUAUCAAAGUUGUAGUGACAUGUUUAAGCAAAUGGGAGAAGAUGGUGUGUACAGAAGGAUACAUUGAGUUAGAUGUGUGGCCUUAUCUCGUAGAUUUGACAAGAGAUGUGAUUUCCCGAUCUGCUUUUGGAAGCAGCUUCGAAGAAGGCAAACGAAUUUUCCAAUUACUAGAGGACCAACUCGUUGUUACAAUCAAAUUAAUACAAACUGUUUACAUUCCAGGAUGGAGGUAACCGUCUACUUAAUUUACUUGAAAAAGGUUGCAAAUGUUGGAAUUGGCUAAAUUCGUGUUUGUUUUCUUGAAGGUUUUUGCCCACAAAGACAAACAGGGAGGUGAAGAUGAAACACAAAGACAUAAAAGAGUCGCUCAGGGAAAUGAUAAAAAGAAGAGAGCAGGCAAUUAAAGCAGGGGAAGAGAGUAAUGAGGACUUGUUGGACAUACUUGUGGAAUCCAAUAUCAGAGAAAUGGAAGCAAAGAAUAUGGGGAUGAGCAUUGAGGAUGUGAUUGAGGAAUGCAAGCUGUUUUACUUUGCUGGCCAGGAGACCACUUCGGUCUUACUCGUGUGGACUAUGGUUUUAUUAGCAAGGUAUCCCGAUUGGCAAAGUAAAGCAAGAGAGGAGGUUUUGCAUGUUUUGGGUGACAGUAAACCUGAUGCUGAUGGCCUUAAUCGUCUCAAAGUUGUAAGUCCCUAUCAUGUCUCUUGAAGGCCCGAUCUCUGAGGUCGACAACUCAAAAACUUGGUUCUUUGUUUCGCUAAUUCUACAGUUAACAAUGAUAUUGUACGAGGUUCUAAGGCUGUACCCACCAGUGAUUGAGCUAGGACGUUCCGUUCCAAAAGAAAUAAAACUGGGAAAUUUGUUGUUACCAGCAGGAACAGACGUUUCGGUUCCAAUCCUGCAGAUCCACCAUGACAAAGAUCUUUGGGGCGACACCGCACGGGAAUUUAAGCCACAGCGGUUCACGGAAGGGGUUUCCUAAGCAACAAAGAGUCAAGUCACGUUUCUGCCAUUCGGAUGGGGUCCUAGGAUCUGCAUUGGCCAAAACUUUGCCAUGAUGGAAGCUAAAAUGGCGAUGGCUAUGAUUCUCCAACGCUUCUGGUUUGAGCUUUCCCCUUCCUAUGCUUACUCUCCUUACAACAUGGCAACUCUUCGUCCACAGCAUGGUGCACAGAUAAUUUUACAUAAACUUGGCUGUAAUUAAAUUGUUAUGUAAGCAAAUCUUUGUGAAAAUAUAGUGUUUUAGUGUAUCGUCAAAGUCUGUCUGUAAUGGUACAAUUCCGAUGCAUGAAUAGUAAAUUUUGAGAUGUUUGGUGAAGUCCGAAAUAAUAUGCAGAAAUUGAGUGUCUAUGGUGGACAUAGUUGAGGGACUAAUGUGGUAAUUAUCAAUCAAAUAAUUCGGUACAAAGACUUAUAUGGAAAUUAAAGCAGGGGGAGUUGAAAAUGACUACUCUGCUUUGGGCAUCAAUUUAGAAAGAUUUAAAGUACAAAUGUGUUAUUAGUUAAGGGAUUUGUUUUAAAGAGGGAAUGACAAUUAAACCUCAUGGUUGAUUUGUGGAAGGGAACCAAUGAUGGGAUGAUUACUCUUAGUGGUGAAAAAAAAACUAUUAAGGUGGUUAUUAUAGUUGUUAUCACCAGCCUAAAAUUUGAAUAGGUUCAGGUCGGAUUAUAUUGAGCAUGCAAGAUUAGUUCACGGACCAAACUUGUAUGAUAAUAGGUAUUCACAAAAAGAUAUCUAUAGUUUCCAACAAAGUCACAUGUGAGAUCGUGCAUUAGAACCGCAUAAACAUGUUUUAUGUUUAGAAUAUGAUAUGUGUCUAUGUGUAUAGAAUCUACCUAAUAUAUCAUAUUAAUGAAUAGUAUCAAUUGCGGAGCCAAAAAAUUAUUUGUGAGGGGUCAGAAUUAAAUUGUAUAUUUUUACAAAAAUAAAAAUUAAAUUUCACUAUUUUAAUAGUUUAUUUAUUUUUAAUUUUUAAAUGAUUAAAUUAAAUUUUAUAAAUUUUUAGGAUCAAAGUAUAAUUUUAUCAUUACUAAUUUAAAAUUUUAUAAAUUAUAAAAAGUUUAUAUGAAAAGUUUUCUAUUUUAGGGUGGCCAAAGCCCCUGCCAACUUCUGACUCGAUCACUUGCGGUUAGUUGGGUAAAGACUCAAGAAAAAUAGCGGUGUGUUUGGAUGGACAGUGUGUUUACUUGCGGUUAGUGUAAAAAUAGCAGUGGCGGUGAGAUUAGAUACUAUAGCAACACUGUAGCGUGAGACAAAAAGUAAGUUAAACGCACUGCACUGCACUUAAUCGUCUAUCUAAACUCACCAUAAGUGUCUAAAAUAUGAUUUAAGUGAAGAUACGUGGGGUAGGUGUCAUGGAAAUGUAAAAAAAAAAGAAUCCCACUAAUGUAUGGGAUGUGUACAAUUGAAUGCAGGAGUGAAUCAUUUGGGUAACAUUUGGACAAGAAACAUAAUGAACAAAAUGAAAGGAGAGGAAGCUAGUAAUAAAAGAUUCUUUUGGGUUAUAUAAUUUGUUUGGCAUAUAUUUUUAUAAUAUUUAAAUAUCAUUUUGGAGUUGUUGAAUUAUAAUUUCUUUUUAUGUUUUAAAACAUAGUUAUUCUAUUUUUAGAGGUCAGAGUAGAGGUGAGCAUGAGUCGGGCUACUCGGCUCGGGCCGAAGGCUUGCGCAAAAUGUGAGAGAUUUGGGUAAAAAUAUAGGCCCGAAAAAUGAGUUUAGACAAAAAAAAUAUAAGGCCCGUUGAAAAAACAGGCUAGGCCUUGGGUAAGGCAUUUUGGCCCCAGACCCGGCCCAACCCAAAUUCACUAAGGGCACGUUUGGUUCGCUGUAUUGGAAUAGAGGCGUAAUGUAAUAGAUGCGUAAUGGAAUAGAGACGUAAUAGCAAAUCAAUUGUUUGGUUGAAUGUAAUGGAAUAGAGGCGUAAUAGUAUUCUUAUAUUUGGUUGAAUGGAAUAGAGGUGUAACAGCAUAAGGAAAAAAGUUAAAAUGACUAGAAUACCCUUAGCAGAAAUUUGUUUAGAUAAAUGAUUAUUGUUAUUGUUAUUAAAUUUUAAUAAGAUUAUUAAUAUCAGUAAUAAAUAAUUUAAUCAUAUUUUAACAUAAUUAUUAUUAAAUAUAAUUUAAUAAAAAUAUAUAAUUUAAUAAAAUUCUUAAUAUUAAAUAAAAUUCUUAAUAUUAAAUAUUCUUAAUAUUAAAUUACUAAAAUCAUAAUAUAUAAUACUAUAAAAUAUAAUUUAAAUAAUUAUUAUUAAAUAUAAUUUAAUAAAAAUAUAUAAUUUAAUAAAAUUCUCAAUAUUAAAUAUAUUCUUAUAUGAAUUUACUAAAAUCAUAAUAUAUAAUACUAUAAAAUAUAAUUUAAAAUAAUUAUUAUUAAAUAUAAUUUAAUAAAAAAUAUAUAAUUUAAUCUAAAGUUUGAAUGUGUAUUUACCUAGCAAAAAUCAAUGAACUCUCGUGUAACUAUAACCUUAAUAAUAUAUGAUGUAUAAUUAAUAUUUCGUGACUAAUUAAUAGCAUAGAGAUAAAUACAGUAAUGACGAAUUUAUAGUAUACGAUUAAAAUGCUAAUAAUUUAUAGUAUACAAUUAAAAUAUUAUAAAUAAAAUAAUAGUAAAUGAUAUAUAAGAUAAAUUAACAUAUAAAUAAUUCAGAUAUGUAAAGAAUAUGGCUGAAUAUGGUUGCUCCAAUAAUAAAGGAUAUAUAAUAUAUCAUGGUGUUGUUUUGUUUAGAUAGUUCGGUAACUUAGGAGGGUAUGUAUGAAGAACACAAGUUGAUGCAGAUAGAAAGACGACAAUAUUACAUGAUUACAAUAUGAUAUAGUAUAUAUAUAUAAUUUAUGGAUUCCUUGCAAUCACGUGGCUUCUCUAGCCAUUUUAUUUAGCAUAUCCAGUGAUAUUAAGAUCCAGAAUUAUAAUACAACUAAAAUCUGUGCACACUUAUGGAUGAUCCAACAAAGCCUCAGUUGGCUUUAGGUUCCAAAUCUUGCAACCCACAAACCAUAUUUGCUGGCACUGCAACAUCAAUCAUCUUAGGAUAUGCCAAGUUAAGAUCUGUUGCACCAACAAAAACAGAGGAGAAAUUAGAAGGCGAUCCGAAAAAACCCAAGGAUGCUUUUUCUUUUCUUUUUUUUUAUAAUCUUUAUAGACUAGUUAUAUUGAGCAUCAACUUACUUUCCAUGAUGUUUUUGAAAGUCUCUUACAAAAAGGGUAUUCAACAAAUAAUAUAAUCAGACAUAUUGAUAGGACAAAUUGAAACUAGUAUUCUAUGAUCAUAAUAAAGAGUAAUCUUUAAUCAAAUGCGUGAAGGUAUUGAGAUGUCAUGCUUUUUCAUGAUUUCCUGUUUUACCAUGGCGAUGUUCAUUGGAAUAGUCCCAUCCAAGAGAAUCAAACCAAUGCUCAGCAAGAAAUGUUCAAUGCAUAUGUAAUUUUAAUUACAGAAGUUAUAUGCAGCUUAUAUGAGUUCAAGAUCAUAAAAGACUUCAUGGACAAAAGGAAACCCUUUCUUAUCACUGAAAUGAAAAUAGGCACUCUUAAUUUUCUAUUGUCAAAAGUAGCAAGCCAUUUUCCAAAGAAAAGGGAAGAUGGAUGGUUCCAGAAAGAAUACCUCAUCCUUUGUCAAGUGUGGAUUAUAUAGCAUCUCCUCUCCCACAGUGGUUACCNNNNNNNNNNNNNNNNNNNNNNNNNNNNNNNNNNNNNNNNNNNNNNNNNNNNNNNNNNNNNNNNNNNNNNNNNNNNNNNNNNNNNNNNNNNNNNNNNNNNAAAUCGAGCAAUCAUUUAUAUAUGUAAGAAAUGAUAGGAAUAAAGUUUUAUAUCUUACUGAGAAUCCUUUGUAGUCAUGAGUUGGAUAUAGCAAUGUCUCUUUCGGUAAUGUAAAAAUCUGGAUCCAUGAAACAAAUAAGUCCAUAAAUUUUAUUCAAAUUUUGACAAUUACAAUAAAAUUUUGAGAACUCAAAGAAUGUGACCAUAAAAAGUCCCCUGUCCUUACCUGUGAAUGCACUGACUUGUAGAGUUGCUGUGAACUUCCACCCUGCAAAAUGCAUUAAUCAGUGCUAGUCAAUGGCUACUGAAUGUGGGAGCAUUAGAGAAAAUUAUCUUAAAAACUUAAGUAUAACAAAAUUAGACAAUGACAUCCAGAUGGAAAGAAAUUGCCAGCAUAUAAGACCAGCAUUUAUGUACUCACGACUGAAAAUCCUUUGCAAAAAGUAUAGCCCUGAUAGUUCAAACUUUUACUUCAAGGAUGAUUUAAUUACUGAUUAGUUUACCAUGAGGCUUGUGAAUGACAAACACUUUAUGUGCAACCACAGUAACAAGGUAAGCACCAAUAAGUAGAAAACUAGACGAAUAGGUAACCAAGAGUUAGAGCUAAAACAGACAAACAGAGCUACUAUCCAAUGAGCUAAAACAUACAAACAGAGGUAUAUUUUAACAAUGAAAAUAAUCGAUUGCCUUAAACACCAUAUAGUGUUCCAAUCAAUCAAAUUAUAGCAGGCAUUAAAACCUUUCCCUUUCGUUAAUUCACAACUAUUAGCUUCAUUAAUCAAAUCCUAUGUACAGUUGAUCGAUUGAAAGUGUAACAUUUCAAAGACGAAAUUUAAACACAAAACUGGUUAACAUUGAAAUUACAUGUAAAUAUAACCUAAAAAACCAAAAAAUUAAUCAUAUUUUCAGAUUUCAGGCCGAAAUGGAAUGAAAUGAAAGGUAAAUCCAUUUUUUCCUCAAAAAAACAAAAAUAAAGAAAUAAUAUUUCAAGAACAGAUCAUUAAAUUCAUGGUAUAUAUAAAGAAAUUUAAUUGAAAUCAAAGGAAUAGAAGAAGGGAAAAGCGUACUUGGAACCAUUGCUGCUACUCUCUGUUACUCUGUUACCUCAUACGAUUCGUUAAAGGGUUGUUAGGGUUUGUUAAAGGGUUGGUCAGGAUAGAAGCAUGAAAAGGAGGGAGAAGGUUGGAAGGAAAUGGGAAGAAAAAUGAAAAAAAGAAGAAGAUGCUGCAACGGCUUGGAGGGUAAAAGAGGACCGAUUAGGUAAUCCUUUCUUUUCGAAGGGAUUACAAAUCGGCGCUGCAUAAGGGAAAAUGGGGAAUCGGUGCGCUGCGUAAUAGGCCCGUAUUAAGGCAAUACAGCCAACCAAACAGGGUAAUCAGUGGGGCCACGGAUUAGGGGUGUAUUGGCUAAUCCAAUACACCCAACCAAACAUGCUCUAAAGGACAAAAAAAUUUGAUUUUUUAAAUAUUAUUUUCUCUCUAUUUUGCUAUCAUUUUACUAUUAUGUUGCUACUAUGUUAUUGUUAUUUUUGGAUAUUGUAUAAAACUUAUUUUAUUGUUAAUUUUGUUAUUAUUUUAAAGACAUUUGUUAAUUUUGUUAUUAUUUUAGAGACAUUUGCUUGUUAAGUUGCAUCUAUCUUAGUGUUAUUUAAGUAUACAUAUUUUUUAAAAUUUAUUUUCAAUUUAUUGGGAAAUAUUUAUUUUGAUGUUUUUAGUAUUUUGGGUGUAUUAUAUAUAUUAAAAUUAUAUAAAAAUUAAUAUGGCCGAGCCGAGUCAGGUCCAGAUUUUAGCAUUUUUAUUCAGGUCGGGCUUGAGCAAAAUUUUAAGCCCAUUUUUUGGGCCAAACCAGGCCUGGGCUUAGCAAAUGGGCCUAAAUUUUUAGUCAAGCCCGACCUAAACCCGAUCCGGCCCAUGCUCACCUCUAGAUCAGAGCUGCCCUCGCUUUGCAUUUCUUUGAGAUUCAGUCUUAUCUACUGUUGAUUGCCCACUCAAUUGAGGGUUGAGUAGAAAGAUUUGGUGAAGCAAGCUAAGCUAUCAAUCAAGGUUGGAGAAAGCUUAGGAGGUCACAAUGCAUAAUUAUUUAAAUGUAAUUCUAAUAUUUAAAUAAAAUUUAUUAAUAUAGUAUUAACAAGCCCUAAAUGUAAUGAUUAUAUACUAUUACAUUUUUAAGAAGAGAAAACAUGUUUGAACCUUAAAAACAUCAUUAUUAAAAAUGAUAAUUAAAAAUUUUAAAAUAUAAAAAAUAUAAUUAAAAAUUAAUUUUAAACCCGAGCUGGAUAAAAUUCUAAUUUUAGAUAACGAUACUAAUAAGAAAUCAAUAUUAAAAUGAAAAUGAAAAGUAAUUUAAUAUAAUUUUUGAGUCUUGGGCAAAGGCACUCAAUGAAUGCUUGGAAAGAAAUAAUGCAACUUGGUGAUAGCUUUUGUUGGAGUAAUAUGCUCUUAUUAUAGUUUUAUGUUUUUAUCUUGCAAAAACAACAUAUUGGAGUUUUCGGCAUGAUUUUUUCUUAAUACUUUACAUGAAAAAUAAUAAUGGGACUUAAAAAUCUAUCAAAAGCUUCACCAUAAUAAUAAUAAUAAUAAUAAUAAUAAUAAUAAUAAUAAUAAUAAUAAUAAAUUGCUACAAUAUUACAACACAAAGUUACAAUAAGAGCUUAUAACUCAACAAAGGCUAUCAAUAAAUAAUCUCAGGCAAGCUAAAGAGAAAUGUUGAGAAUACCACCCGAAUAGUGACUGACUUUAAAAGUUGAAAACCCAAAGCUAUAGUAUCUCAAACUAAAUCAAACCAUAAACAUUAAAAUUUUCAAGUCUACUAGCUACUGUAAAAAAUACAGCUCCAACAGACACCAAAUGAGUCUUUGAUCGAAGAAAGUACAAAAACUAGUCUGGGUAAACCAAGCUGCCAAACUUACUUAUCUUAUCUUUAAUUUUGCAGUGAAAUUAAAAACUAAGUUUUUGUUUAUUUCACUUGGAACAACUUUCAAAAAAUUAUUUUUGAAAAAUGGAUUGGUUUUUCGAAAUAAAUGAUAUUUUAUUGUGUUAAAAUUUUAUUCGUUGUUGGAAAACUUUUUUUAAAUCAUUUUCUUAAAGUUAUUUUUAGUGAAACAAACAUAACAUAAAUAUAUUUGUUACAAAAAAUUAUACUAGUAAUUUCUUUUGACAAUUAAAAUUUAUUUUAUGGUAAGACAAUAUUUUAUAAUAAUUAAUAUCAUAUAUAUACGUAAUAAAAAUCAUGUUUAAUUAAAAUUUAAUUAAAAUUAGAUGUAUUAAUAAAGCUACUCCUCCACAACCCGCAUCCGCAACAGCACCAGCACCAGCACCAGCACCAGCAUCAGCACCAUGGGACAACUAUUGGGUUUCCUCCACCUGCCUCUAUCGCUCCUCCUCAGUAUUACCCCUAAGCCUACCAGACCGUGCCGGGUAUUCUACAAAUAUGAAAAAACCUUCUUCUCUUUUUAUUAGCUUAUCGAAAUGAAGGAUUUUGAGAUUUGGGCUUUUGUUAGAUGGAUGGUUAAUGAUAUUUUUUAGAUGAAAGAUACAAGUUUUUUAAUGUUUUAGAAGAAAAGGUGUUUAAAUAUUAGGAGUUUUUUAGCAGAGAAAGAAGAUAAAUAAAUGCAUAGAGAUACAUUAGCAAUAUUAUUUGGAUUUGGUUGUCUAAUGUAAUGAAGAAUUUUUUAAGGGUGACCUGAGUAGGUGUGGCAAGAUUCAAAGUUUUUUCUAUUAUAGCAGAUAUAUAUAUAUUAAUGGUUUAAGAAGACUAGAAGUCGGUUUCAAAGGAAGAUGAGAAAUAAAAGCAUUUAUAUAUAUGAUAUGUCAUUAAUUCAUAAACCAAAUAUAUAAAGUAUGUAAAAGUGUCAGGGGUUAAUCAUGGUGUUUUGACAAUCCGGUAACCUUCAACUUGAAGAAAACCUUAGGUUUCAAAAAUUUAUGUGAAGAGUUAGAAUGGUAUGCUUCAUGGAUCUGAAUAACUAGAACAGUGUAAGAGUGGUAUAUUGUGUCAAGUUUGGUUUCUUGUAUAUAAUUGUAUCGAAAACAAUGUUACAUGAGUUAAAAUGAAUGUUCAUCCAAUUUAACAAAGCCUGCAUUAUGUUGAUCAAAAUUUUUAAUUCAUGUUGAGGUUUCUUCCGUGAUAUCUUUGAUGUCAAGGUUAUGAUGUUGCUGAAGGGACACCUGUAAGAGAUAAGCUACGGUGCUGUGGCAUUGGAUUCGGAUGGUUCUUGUAAGUGUACAUAGUUUUCUUUGUUUUUAAAGAGUUCUUUACAUAUGAAGUAAAACAAGUAGCGACUUGAUGGAUAUGUCAUUAAGCUUUAACUUAAGCAAAUCAUUUUCCUUCAUCUCUAAUUGCCAUUUCUUUAAAAGAAAAAGAGGAAGUUUUGUAGUUUACAGUUUGGACAAAUGGAAGUUAAUAUAAUGCACUAUUUGGAUGGACUAUGGAGAUAUCCAAUCAUAUUGGAUGAGUUAUAAGAAACCUGUGAGUUCAUAUUGGGUUUACUUUAUAUCAUAAUUAGAUUGUUGAGCUGGCUGUCAGACUUAGAUGGUAUUUCACGUUGCUACAUGUUAAACUAUACCACUUUCACAUUCAUACGUGAAAUGGCUGGGAUUUAGUGCCAUUCUACUUAGCAGCCUCGUGUAAUACACAGGUGAAAUGUUUAUGUCUUCAUGUCACCUUAAAGUUCCCAUUUCCAUGACGGUAUUGUUAAGUAAAGACUGGUACAUACCCCAAAAUACGGAAAUUGUUUUGGAUGUAUACUAUACUUUACCAUGCAUGAUUUUUUACAAGUUUGCAUGGUAUUUUAUCAUUAUAUUGGUCUUUAUUUUCUAUACUCGCAGCUUCCAUUAAUAUAUUUUUAUGAAUUUUAUCAUUAUGCUGGUUUGAAGGUUCAUCAUUGGUUUCUUCAUUGGGGGCCAUCCCUGGUAUAUUGGAUUCUUUGUUUUACUUUGUGCAAGGAUAGACGACAGAGAGAAAGCAGGAUAUAUUGCAUGCACAAUUGCCGUGAGUAUCUUUUCUAUCAUUAUUUUUUUCUUUUCCAAUUUUAUGAAAGCCAUCCUUCCUGCCUUGUAUUGAUCAUCAAUUUAACCAUUGUAUAUAUGUAUCUUAUGUAUUUGUACCAUGCUUUAUCUUCAAUGCAAAUAUAAGUUAAACUACAAAGAUUGGAUUGUUAAAAAAAGUUUAAAAUGUUAAAAAAAUUGAAAAUUUUGAUUUUGUAAGAAUGAUAGAAAACCAAGGCCAGUGCUUGCAUAUGUUAUCUACUACAUGCACAAUCGGGUCGAUGUCUGUAUAUGUUUCAUGUUUAGAAAUCGUGUUCAAUUGGGUUACGAUAUGUACAAUUGAAGUGUCAAUUUAUAAUUUCCUUAUCAAGAUUACACAUUUUUUUGUUAAUAUUCGGAAUCACUCAAUGGUUAUAAACCCUGAUUGGAUACUGUCCACAAAGUCUAGUUGGAACAUCCCUUGUAUUCUUUGUCCUUUCUAAGAACUUUCCUUUCCAUCAUUCUCGCUUCUGUUUUUUUUUUCUUCCCUCUACUUUAAGUCAUUAUCUAACGUAGAUAUCCCUUGUAUUCUUUGUCCUUUCUAUGGCAAUCGAGUCAAUUGAUGGCAAGCCAAAAAAACAAAAAGAACAGCUAUCCUGUCUUACUCGAUUGCCAUCCCUCCUGUUAAACACCAUUAAGAAAAGGAAAAUUUUAGUUAAGCUUUAAAACAGCCAUGUUUUAACGAUGUUGGUGAUGGUGCUUGUGCAGGCCCUUCUUGCUACAAUUACAAUUAUUCUUAGUGCAACAAUUAAAGCUGGUGGGUGAUAAAGCACACCUCUUUUGACUGAGAGAUGUAUAGGUUCCCAAAUAAUAUGUAUAUGCUCCCCCCCCCCUCCCUUUAUUUUAUUUUAUUUCCAGUAAGUUAUUGUUUAUGAUAAUUUGCAACAAAUGUUUUUGUCAUUAUUUUGUUGGUGAAUGAUAAUAAGAUUAAGCUUUACUUUCUUAAGCUCCAAUUCCUUGGACGUUGGUGAUUUUUUUAUUAUAGUUGAGUCCUUGUAUGGUAUUAAUAUAAUUUAUGUCGCUUAAAAUUUAUAACUAAAAAUAUAAAAUUUAAAUUUUACUUCAAUUUAUUUGUAUUUAUAAAUGGUUAAUUCAAACUUAUUUUUUUCCUCAUUAUAUUUUAUAUUUAAAUUAACAUUUAAACUAUUUUUCAUUAGCAAUGUUGUUAAGAAUUAUAUUUUUUAGCACCAACAUCAAACUUACUAAAAUUAAAUUUUUAACUAUUUUAAAAAAAAUAUUUUUAGCUAUUUAUCAUCAUAGAGAAAAAAAGGUGACGUCACCACGCCUCAUGCUUCGACACCACAAACUAGACUCUCAUCACCUGUAUUUAUCAUCGAUUCAAAUUCCAGAACUACCUAAAAAUAUAUCUUCAAACUUCCUCUGGUUAAGUUCAUUGAUAGUCAACUUACUAUUAUUUCUAAAAAAAAAAACAAAUAAAUUGGUUAAUAGUAAUCUCAAUGAUUCAAUUUUAUUCUUACCAAUAUCUGUCCUUUAGAAAGGGGCUUAUAAAAGGGAUAGAGGUGAGUAAACUUGAGCUUCAGCUUUCCACAAACACCUUAAUUUGAAGACACAGUUCUCUCAUACUAAAAAAGACAUGGAAGUUUACCUUGUAAUUAGAGAUUUGGUUUCAUUGCUUGUUGUUGGGUUAUUAAUGAUAUGGGGAUGCAGAACUUUAAACUGGGUAUGGCUGGCCCCAAAAAGGCUCGAAAGCUGCUUGAGACAACAGGGUUUUGCAGGGAAUCCUUACAGGUUCCUUUCUGGUGACAUAAAAGAGCUCUCAACUAUGAGCAGACAAACAAGAGCCAAACCUAUGCCUCUUAGUGAUGAUAUUGGGCCUUAUGUUGUUCCUUUUCAACAUCAAACUGCUAACCAGUAUGGUAUGCUUUUUUUGUUUAAUCUGCAAUUUAUGAUAAUUCUUUGUUAUUUAUGUAUGGAAUUUAUUGGGAGGAAAUGCAGGAAAGAAUUCAUUUACGUGGUUUGGUCCAAGACCAAGGGUGAACAUUACGGACCCUGAAAAAAUAAGAGAAAUACUUAACAAAUUUAAUGACUUCCAGAAGAUACAUACCAAUCCACUGCUUAAUUUGCUUGUAAGCGGCCUUGCUAACCUCGACGGAGACCGAUGGAGCAAGCGUAGAAAAAUCAUAAACCCUGCAUUUCAUCAAGAUAAGUUGAAGGUAUAGAAUAGUGAUGGGUAAUCAGACUUUACAGAAAACAUCAUACUUAAACCUAUGCUUUCCUGAUUUAGAAAUAAUUGGAUGCAGAAUAUGUUGCCAGCAUUUUAUCAAAGUUGUAGUGACAUGUUAAGC